AUCUCCAGUUGUGUGAUUUUUUUUUCCUUUAGUAAUUAUAUGGGACCAACCCCCACCACCUAUCUCCCCUCUGCACAGCGACCAGCUCCCCUCCUCCAAAAACUAAUGAAACGUCGUUCCUCUGGAGGGAGCAGGAUAAUGGGCAGGGAGCCAGAAAUGAUAAUGAAGCGCCUCAUUCUCAGCAUUUUUUUUUAAUUCCUCCCCCACCUCAUCCUCCUCAUCCUCCUCCUCUUCAUCCCACCAUCAUCUUCGUUUCUUUCUGCUUCCUCCGGACCGAGCCGCCGCCCUGCCGCCCCCUCCCUCCUUCCCUCCCCCUGCCAGGAAGCAUCCUGGGUAAUUUCCUCUCUUAUUGAAUUGGGACGGGGGAAGAUAAAGGAGUGCUAAUGGAGGAUGGCAAAUCUGCAGCUCCUUCCUCCUCCUGUCUCUGGGGUAAAAGUACAAAUACCCCUCGCUGCCUCCGCGGCCAGACAAAAGGCGAUGACCUUCUCCCUUUUUCUUCUUCUUCUGUGUUUUAUUUGUGCUGGGGAUGCUGCUCAGGCUGUCCGUGGAGUCGCUGUGAACCCGAUGCUCCCUCAGUCCUCUCUCAUUUCUGUAGGACGAGGCUGACGUCUGGAACGUCCACAGAACGUACACAGAUCAAUAUGUCUUCAAAGAACACACCGGACCGUCAUCAUUGAUCGGUGGUUGAUAGUCUGGAUGGAGAGCUGAUCCUCCAGAGAGGCAGCGAGAGACGACUGACGGAGCAGCGAUGAGAUUUUAUCUUUAGAAACUACAAACAAGCUCAGACUGUUAUAAAAUGAUCCAAAGGGCGACUUAAGGGUUCAUUUUUUAUGCAAUUUACCAGAUUUAAAUCUUUAGUAUACAUAAUUUUUCUUUCAAAGAACAGGACACGUCUUUAAAUCCCCAUUUAAUUUAUCUGUAACUUAACAAAAGAGAUAAAAUCUGUAAAAUAACACUAGAAAAAUAUGUAAUUUACCAGACUUAAAUCCUCAGUUUGCAUAUUUUUCUUUCAAAUUAAAGAAAAUAUUAGGGAAAUAGAUUUUUUUAUGAUUUUUUUUAUUGCUUUAGGCUGAUUUGAAGACAGUAAAACUAUAUAAUUUUGUGGUCACAUAAAAAUUACAGAUUUUUUAUAUUGGUGCUAUGUUUUUUUUAUUUGACUAGUUAUCUGUAAUUUAACACAACGGAACAUCUAUAAAAUAACACAUUAAAAAAUAUCUAAAAAUAUCCAGUUAAUAUACAUUUUUUUCAAAUAUUUCAAAUUAUAUUUUUUUAGUUAUGAGAAAGAAUGAAUUAACCAUUUGAAAAAAAUAAAUUCUUGAAGUCGAAAUUAUGUGUUUUAUUUCACUAAUUAUUACCACUGAUAAUUUAACAAACACUAGUAGUUUUAAUGAUUGUAAAGUUGAAAAUAGUAAAAGAAACAGAAGCUAAACAUGGAGUUUAAAAAUAUCUGUGCCGUUUAUCUAAAACUCUUUGUUUUUGCACAAUAAUUAAAUUAUUGACUCUUUGUUUUGUAUUAAAUGUAAACAAACACUUUUAAAUCCUGGAGCUGUCACACUAUGCAGUAAAUGAAUGACUUUUCCAGACAUUUUCCACAUUUAGACGCUAACUGUGGCUCAACUGGUUUUAGAUCCUCUGUUUUCUGAUAAUUAAAAUGAACAACUGACUUACA